rnacentral:rRNA from 1 species
UACAGAGGGGGCAAGCGUUAUUCGGAUUCACUGGGCGUAAAGGGUGCGCAGGCGGCCAAGUGUGUGAGGCGUGAAAGCCCGGGGCUUAACCCCGGAAUUGCACCUCAAACUACAUGGCUAGAGCAUUGGAGAGGGUAGCAGAAUUCAUGGUGUAGCAGUGAAAUGCGUAGAUAUCAUGAGGAAUACCAGAGGCGAAGGCGGCUACCUGGACAAUUGCUGACGCUCAGGCACGAAAGCGUGGGGAGCAAAAGGG